AAGCGUAAUAGCUCACUGGUCGAGUCGGCCUGCGCGGAAGAUGUAACGGGGCUAAGUAGUAAACCGAAGCUGCGGCAAUAUACUUUUGUAUAUUGGGUAGGGGAGCGUUCUGUAAGCGGUUGAAGGUGUGUGGUAACGCAUGCUGGACGUAUCAGAAGUGCGAAUGCUGACAUGAGUAACGAUAAAGGGGGUGAAAAACCUCCUCGCCGGAAGACCAAGGGUUCCUGUCCAACGUUAAUCGGGGCAGGGUAAGUCGACCCCUAAGGCGAGGCCGAAAGGCGUAGUCGAUGGGAAACGGGUUAAUAUUCCCGUACUUCUUACAAUUGCGAUGGGGGGACGGAGAAGGCUAGGUGGGCCUGGCGACGGUUGUCCAGGUUCAAGUGCGUAGGCUUAAGAGUUAGGUAAAUCCGGCUCUUUUUAAGGCUGAGACACGACGUCGAGCACCUACGGGUGUGAAGUCAUUGAUGCCAUGCUUCCAGGAAAAGCCUCUAAGCUUCAGAUUGUAAGGAAUCGUACCCCAAACCGACACAGGUGGUCGGGUAGAGAAUACCAAGGCGCUUGAGAGAACUCGGGUGAAGGAACUAGGCAAAAUGGUACCGUAACUUCGGGAGAAGGUACGCUCUUGAUGGUGAAGUCCCUUGCGGAUGGAGCUGACGAGAGUCGCAGAUACCAGGUGGCUGCAACUGUUUAUUAAAAACACAGCACUGUGCAAAAUCGUAAGAUGACGUAUACGGUGUGACGCCUGCCCGGUGCCGGAAGGUUAAUUGAUGGGGUUAGACUUCGGUCGAAGCUCUUGAUCGAAGCCCCGGUAAACGGCGGCCGUAACUAUAACGGUCCUAAGGUAGCGAAAUUCCUUGUCGGGUAAGUUCCGACCUGCACGAAUGGCGUAAUGAUGGCCACGCUGUCUCCACCCGAGACUCAGUGAAAUUGAAAUCGCUGUGAAGAUGCAGUGUACCCGCGGCUAGACGGAAAGACCCCGUGAACCUUUACUACAGCUUGGCACUGAACAUUGACCCUACAUGUGUAGGAUAGGUGGGAGGCUUUGAAGCACGUACGCCAGUAUGUGUGGAGCCGUCCUUGAAAUACCACCCUUGUAGUGUUGAUGUUCUAACGUCGACCCCUAAUCGGGGUUGCGGACAGUGCCUGGUGGGUAGUUUGACUGGGGCGGUCUCCUCCCAAAGAGUAACGGAGGAGCACGAAGGUGGGCUAAUCACGGUUGGACAUCGUGAGGUUAGUGCAAUGGCAUAAGCCCGCUUGACUGCGAGAAUGACAAUUCGAGCAGGUGCGAAAGCAGGUCAUAGUGAUCCGGUGGUUCUGAAUGGAAGGGCCAUCGCUCAACGGAUAAAAGGUACUCCGGGGAUAACAGGCUGAUACCGCCCAAGAGUUCAUAUCGACGGCGGUGUUUGGCACCUCGAUGUCGGCUCAUCACAUCCUGGGGCUGAAGUCGGUCCCAAGGGUAUGGCUGUUCGCCAUUUAAAGUGGUACGCGAGCUGGGUUUAGAACGUCGUGAGACAGUUCGGUCCCUAUCUGCCGUGGGCGUUGGAAGAUUGAAGGGGGCUGCUCCUAGUACGAGAGGACCGGAGUGGACGAACCUCUGGUGUUCGGGUUGUGUCGCCAGACGCAUUGCCCGGUAGCUAAGUUCGGAAUCGAUAACCGCUGAAAGCAUCUAAGCGGGAAGCGAGCCCUGAGAUGAGUCUUCCCUGAUACUUUAAGUAUCCUAAAGGGUUGUCGGAGACUACGACGUUGAUAGGUCAGGUGUGUAAGUGCUGUGAGGCAUUGAGCUAACUGAUACUAAUUGCCCGUGAGGCUUAACCAUACAACACCCAAGGGGUUU
rnacentral:rRNA from 1 species